rfam:Schistosoma curassoni strain Dakar, Senegal genome assembly, scaffold: SCTD_contig0001529
UUCCAGCUGACGAGUCCCAACUAGGACGGAAAAUGCGUCCUGGAU